rnacentral:rRNA from 1 species
UCCACGCCGUAAACGAUGUAUACUAGAUGUCAGACAUAUUAAAAUGUUUGGUGUCGAAGUUAACGCGAUAAGUAUACCGCCUGGGGAGUACGGUCGCAAGAUUAAAACUCAAAGGAAUUGACGGGGGCCCGCACAAGCGGUGGAGCAUGUGGUUUAAUUCGAUGCAACGCGAAGAACCUUACCCGGACUUGACAUCCUCUGGAUGGAACUCAGAAAUGAGAUCUUUCUCUUCGGAGACUGGAGUGACAGGUGCUGCAUGGCUGUCGUCAGCUCGUGUUGUGAAAUGUUGGGUUAAGUCCCGCAACGAGCGCAACCCUUGUCC